rnacentral:rRNA from 1 species
CCUACGGGUGGCAGCAGUGGGGAAUAUUGCACAAUGGGGGAAACCCUGAUGCAGCGACGCCGCGUGAGUGAUGAAGUUUCUCGGUAUGUAAAGCUCUAUCAGUAGGGAAGAAAAUGACGGUACCUGACUAAUAAUCCCCGGCCAAAUUCGUUCCAGCAGCCGCGGUAAUACGGAGGGGGCAAGCGUUAACCGGAAUUACUGGGUGUAAAGGGUGCGUAGUCGGGGUUGGAAGUCCGGAGUGAAAUCCCUUGGCUUAACCGUGGAACUGCAGUGGAAACUGUGGGGCUGGAGUUCGGGAGGGGCAGGCGGAAUUCGUGGUGUAGCGGUGAAAUGCGUAGAUAUUAGGAGGAACAC